rnacentral:lncRNA from 1 species
AUCUUCUUCAGUUUCCGGGGCUCCACCAGCGCCGUCACCUCCGUCGCGUACGAUACGAGCUGCUUGAUGGCCUUGAAGUUGUGCUCCCGUUUCUUCUUCUGAACUAUCCACAGGAACCCGGCCUCCUGGUUGUAGCCGAGCUCCUCGAGGUCGUCAAGGGGGAGCAGCCCCAGUGGGAGGUCCAGCUCCUUCAGGAGGUCGGCCAUCCUCUUCUUGCAGACGGCAUCGCCGCGGUAGACCUCGGCGUUCUCGCGGUAGCUAUCGACGGUCAGGGACCCCAUUCUAGUGAACUAAGAGAAGCUUCGGCGAGAAUAAAAAGGAAGAGGAGUAAGCAGCCUGUGGAUUAAGAGAACAAGGGAGCCAGGAAAGGGAGGGGCUACGGUUCGAUUAGUGUUGUGAAAGAUGACACUGGAAGUCAUUUAUAUAGUGAGGCGUUUGUAGAGCGGAGGCUGGUGAAAUUGCUCGGGGACAAGGAGGAAGAAGCCGCGAAGUUGAGACGGUCAGCAAACGCUAGAAUAUGUGGGCAGCACAGGGGCUCAUUUAUUCUCGGUCUAGCUCCCCGAGUUCAACCCCCCUUGCCCUCCCCCAACACACACACAAUUCAUGACGUUGCCGGACGAUGAGUUUGACCUGCCAUGAUAGUGACAGGCUUAUCCCACAAAUGGUCGUACUUUCCCGGCUGUAAUCCUUAGACGAAGACCCCGGUUGAUCCGCGCGCACUCCAUAGCGACCGAGAGAAGGCCAAUGUCGACGGCGGUCUCUGCGCACGACCUCAACAGACUCACGCAUCUAAGAUAGCCACGGCGGAAAAUGAAAUGGUGAGAAAGAUAUUAAAAUCUCUCAGCCAAGCUGGUUCCGGCGGGUAGGUGUUGGAACCAAGUCACUCAACCGAGGGUAGCUUCCCAUUAUCUUCAGCUGUCAGUCUUCCGUCAAAGGAGAAGUUUUGAUUAGAAUUGGACUAAGGCGAAGCACCCAGUCGGGUUAUUGUGGAAAGCAAGCUGGGCUUUGCCCUGUUGUGAGUAUUGAGUCAAGUAGACUAGUUGUCUAAUUUAGCCCACGCUACUUGGUUCUAGGCGAAGGAAGUAAGCCCUCACCGAUUUCUCACGCACUUUACGUCCCACGUGAUGACUUCUAAAAUGAGUCGAUAACGAGCAGGGUAAUCCAGUAUCAACCCAGUUUAGAGAGGGCAGAAUUAUUUGGAGAACGGACCGCACGACUUUUCUGUCUAACUUCAGGGACAUCUUCAAGCUGUAAACUCUUACGGAAGGUGACAAAAAAACUUGCCAACGGCUCAGCGACAAACUUUUACAGGAGCCAACGGUCGCGUAAUUCAUAUGGCAGUUUUUAUACUCGUAUUUGAUGGUAAACUGUUCUUGUUCAAGGAAGAAAAUAAAUCUCUCAAACACGCUAGUAAUUUUCUCUAUGAAUGUUCACCAACAUAGUAUUACAAACCUUCCGGUUCAAAAACAUACAACUUAACAGUUGGCAAUUUAGGUAAACGAUAGCCCAAGACCCAUAAACGAAAAACAACACAUUAUUUAAAGGCGUCAUUCAUCAGGUAUCUUUUGAAAGGGACGUCUCCAGAGAAGAGAAUGUAAAUGACGAACACUAAGAGCCAAUAUAAUCGCGAGUACGAUUAAUAUCUGACCUGUUGAUACUGUUACAGAGUCAUUAAAAGAUUCAUAUCCAUGUUCCUAAAAAGUCACAUCCUCCACGCUAUAAUCAGUUAUCAACAGGUGCGCCAGAAUCAUACGACGACAUGCUCGUGUACAUAACGUCGGAAUUUGACCUGGAUCCGGAUCAGUCCAUGGGUCCGUCAUCUCCUACGGUUUUAGUUGGAUUCAAUGCAUUCACGGUUUUACAUUGAAGCUCACCUAAUUUCAUCGUUUUGACAUUUUGUUCGUCCCAUCCGCGUGCGGAGAAGACGACUCCACAACAACUUCUAUUGGUUUCCACAUUUCUUUGUUCAUUGACUUUAUCUCGUCACGACCAGGACAGCUUCUUUCCUAGGUGGAGCAAAAUGCCGUUGAUCCUUGAAUCCUUUGAACCGAGGUAGUUGGCGAAUUACGCGAUAGCCGAGGGCGAACAAGCGAACGUAGACGUCCAUGCUAACUAUCGACCGCACAAAUGCUAGACCUGGCCAACCCCCCGAAGGAGUCUAGUCGGCCACCAGAAUAUCUACGGCACAAGAAGACGCCGUACUGGGAGGGAGUCAAUUUAUACAGCCACGACCCGGAUCUGACAUGGCAAAGUAAACCCCAAUCUCUUAGCUGGAAUCAAAAGGCAGAUAACUGUGGGCUCGAAACUGGAGGAACAAUAGAAGCCGCAUGACACAAAACUGGAGGAACAAGUGGCCUGUUACUGCAUAAUAUAUCGUUUUACUCAAUAAUACAAAUAUUGUAUGACUGCAUGACACAGUCCAUAGGUCUUACAGGGGAAACCUUAAUCGAAUUGGGAAGCAAAGACCGAUGUGCCCGUUUCAUCAUAUUGAAUUCAGGAUUACGACAUAUUCAGUGAUUCCAAGCUCACGAAUCGAACCCGGUCGGCGUACAAGACCAAAUAGCGUGGCGAAGGUUGAGCCCCUGAGCGUCAGAUCUGUUAAUCAUACAUAGGCUCGAGAAAUUCCGAGCCAAUCUUGUCCGAUCUCUGGUUCGUAUUAUCAGAUCAGACGAACCGCAGAAAUCGCCAGUCAUUAACUGAAUGACUAAACAAAUUCCAGCCAACGGACCGAGCGGUACGAAUACGUUUCAACGAAGAUGACUUUAAUGUACGACUGGUUCUGGCCUACGUCCACACAAAGUUAAUGUUUGAUGAUUUUCCCAUCGUUCCAUUCUAGGAGUCGAAUGCGAGACCUGUUACGGAUUUGAUUUGCUACGACAAAAAAAGCUUAUUCUGAUGCCCUACACGUGUUAUGUCCGUCAUCGAAUACGCUGGCAAGGUGCUUUAUUAACACAACUGUGUUGAUUAAAAUUCAGAAUUGCGAAAAUAUGUGUCGAAAAUAUUAACCAGAAAGCAAACCAAUUACAACCAAAUUCAGCGCAGUUCCCCAAAACGGACCUUGUAUCAACCUGUAAACAUGUCCAUCUGGCUUCUUUCAACAAAAAAGGCAGCAUGUUUUAAUCGUUCUAAAGCAAGGAAUUUCUGUCGGAUUACGGAGCAGAUCAAAUAGCUGAAGUUGUGAUUGCGUGAUCAGGUACAUCAGUUCCAAUCACUAAAAAUCACGGUCCCCAUUAUAUUGGGAUACACAUAUUACAACAAUCCAUUUGAUCUUUUCUAAUCGCAAGAUGACAGACCAAGAGAGUUUCAAAAUAAACUCUUCAAAAUUUUGAAAGAGUUUCUCUGAUACCAAUCGGCCAACGCCUCAUUUUGCGAUCCAAGAUAAUACAAUUCGACUGGUUUAGGCAGCUACUGACUCUCGCUGACUGUUAAGAAAACUAGAACGUAGGCAAAAAAAGCUUCACUUUUACGUCUACGAUUUGAGACCUCUCUCUCUCUCUCUCUCUCUCUCUCUCUCUUACUCACUCACUUUGCCUAUACGUACUCUUAUGCUGAUAUAUCAAUCCCUCCUUUUCAUGUAUAAGAAUAUAUUUGAAUUUAUGCUUAAAACAAAUGACGAUUGUACCACAAUCUUCAAAACAGCCUUUGAUAACACUUUAUUCCCUUUGUCUUCCGUUCUACGCCUCCAGUUCGAAGGCCGACACGGGGAAGCUGUCUGCCAGUCCGGUUCCAGUCUUGAAUGUGAUCUUCCCGGAGGAGGGAUCCUCGAUGUACACCUCCACCACCGACAGCCACAGCAGCAUCUCCCUCGUCUUCACCCCCGUUAUCUUCUUCAGUUUCCGGGGCUCCACCAGCGCCGUCACCUCCGUCGCGUACGAUACGAGCUGCUUGAUGGCUUUGAAGUUGUGAUCCCGCUUCUUCUUCUGAACCAGCCACAGGAACCCGGCCUCCUUGUUGUAGCCGAGCUCCUCGAGGUCGUCGAGGGGGAGCAGCCCCAGUGGGAGGCCCAGCUCCUUCAGGAGGUCGGCCAUCCUCUUCUUGCAGACGGCGUCGCCGCGGUAGACCUCGGCGUUCUCGCGGUAGCUGUCGACGGCGAGAGACCCCAUUCUAGUGAACUAAGAGAAGCUUCGGCAAGAAAGGAAGAAGAGUAGUAGAACAAGGGAGCUAGGAA